AACGAACGCUGGCGGCAUGCCUAACACAUGCAAGUCGAACGAUCCCUUCGGGGAUAGUGGCGCACGGGUGCGUAACGCGUGGGAAUCUGCCCUCAGGUACGGAAUAACUCAGGGAACCUUGAGCUAAUACCGUAUAAUGACUUCGGUCCAAAGAUUUAUCGCCUGGGGAUGAGCCCGCGUCGGAUUAGCUAGUUGGUGAGGUAAAAGCUCACCAAGGCGACGAUCCGUAGCUGGUCUGAGAGGAUGAUCAGCCACACUGGGACUGAGACACGGCCCAGACUCCUACGGGAGGCAGCAGUGGGGAAUAUUGGACAAUGGGCGAAAGCCUGAUCCAGCAAUGCCGCGUGAGUGAUGAAGGCCUUAGGGUUGUAAAGCUCUUUUACCCGGGAUGAUAAUGACAGUACCGGGAGAAUAAGCUCCGGCUAACUCCGUGCCAGCCGCCGCGGUAA
rnacentral:rRNA from 1 species